rnacentral:rRNA from 1 species
UGGGGAAUUUUGCACAAUGGGGGAAACCCUGAUGCAGCGACGCCGCGUGAUUUAGAAGGCCUUCGGGUUGUAAAAAUCUUUUUUACGGGAUGAAAAUGACAGUACCGUAAGAAUAAGGUCCGGCUAAAUACGUGCCAGCAGCCGCGGUAAUACGUAUGGACCGAGCGUUGUCCGGAAUCAUUGGGCGUAAAGGGUACGUAGGCGGACUAGUAAGUUAGAAGUGAAAUAAUAUAGCUCAACUCUAUAAAGCUUUUGAAACUGGUAGGCUUGAGAGAUGGAAGGGAAAGUGGAAUUCCUAGUGUAGCGGUGAAAUGCGCAGAUAUUAGGAAGAAUACCGGUGGCGAAGGCGACUUUCUGGUCAUCAUCUGACGCUGAGGGACGAAAGCGUGGGUAGCAAAAAGG